rnacentral:lncRNA from 1 species
CAAAAAACAAACAAACAAAAAAAAACCAUGAGCUAGCAAUAUGAGUCUCAUUUAAAGUCUCCUCCUUAUCAUUCCCCUGGCCCUGCACACUAGGGAGACAGAUAUCUGCCCCCACUGCCCAAGGGCAGCUCUCUAGGGAAGUAGGCCACCAACAUAGCCCCACUCAGACUUCUGGGACUGACAUGGGGCACCUCCACCUGCUGCUCCUGUGAACAUGGACUGGCCAUGGUGCCCUGACUCCAAAGCCCAUGCCCCAGACCAGCUUUUCCAAGGGAAGGUCCAAAUACCUGGAGAAAAGAAAACGAGACUGUUGUGGGGGUGCUCCCUGCCUCCCCAGCCUGGUUGCGUACCCAUACUCAGAGGGGCCCAGCCUGGGAGCUGUCCUUUCCCUCCUGGAAGAGCCUACCUCUGUGCAACCAACCUCAACUCUCCCCCGCGUCGGUCUGAAUGUUUGCUCUUCCACCUCUCCCGGAAUCAUUAAACAUUCUGCAGUGGAAACACGGCUGGUCACGUGGCAAGCACAGCUCGCCAACCUUGGCACUUCUCCUCUGAUCCCGUUUGUUUUUCUAAUAUAAAACUAAUAUGACAUAAUGUAUAAUCUAAUUUGGAAAUUACCAUUUGCUUGGCUGGCCCACACUGCCAGCCAAUACCAACAGCAAGAGAAAUUAUUUAAGAAUGUUUCUUUUCCUUCGGAACACGGCUGAUAAUUUAUUUUUCCGUCAGAAGAUUACUUUUCUCUUUACGACAUUUCCUGCCCGUGUGAUUUGCGUUAACGUUCAAUAAAAUGGUCUGUGCCUAACGUAAGGAGCUGAGCACAGAGGAUCAGCACCCC